rnacentral:rRNA from 1 species
UACGGAGGGUGCAAACGUUGCUCGGAAUCAUUGGGCGUAAAGCGCACGUAGGCGGCCCGUUAAGUCGGAUGUGAAAGCCCCCGGCUCAACUGGGGAGGGUCAUUCGAUACUGGUCGACUCGAAGGCAGGAGAGGGAAGCGGAAUUCCCGGUGUAGUGGUGAAAUGCGUAGAUAUCGGGAGGAACACCGGUGGCGAAGGCGGGUCUCUGGGCAUUUCCUGACGCUGAGGCGCGAAAGCGUGGGGAGCAAACAGG